rnacentral:rRNA from 1 species
UACGUAGGGGGCAAGCGUUGUCCGGAAUCAUUGGGCGUAAAGAGCGUGUAGGCGGCCAGAUAAGUCCGCUGUGAAAUCUCGAGGCUCAACUUCGAGCUGUCGGUGGAAACUGUCUGGCUGGAGUCCGGAAGAGGAGAAUGGAAUUCCUGGUGUAGCGGUGAAAUGCGCAGAUAUCAGGAAGAACACCCGUGGCGAAGGCGGUUCUCUGGGACGGUACUGACGCUGAGACGCGAAAGCGUGGGGAGCGAACAGG